CAUACUGUGAAACUGCGAAUGGCUCAUUAAAUCAGUUAUAAUUUAUUUGAUAGUACCUUUUCACAUGGAUAACUGUGGUAAUUCUAGAGCUAAUACAUGCUAAAAACCUCGACUUCGGAAGGGGUGUAUUUAUUAGACUAAAAACCAAUGCCCUUCGGGGCUCCUUGGUGAUUCAUGAUAACUUAUCGAAUCGCAUGGCCUUGCGCCGGCGAUGGUUCAUUCAAAUUUCUGCCCUAUCAACUUUCGAUGGUAAGAUAGAGGCUUACCAUGGUGUCGACGGGUAACGGGGAAUUAGGGUUCGAUUCCGGAGAGGGAGCCUGAGAAACGGCUACCACAUCCAAGGAAGGCAGCAGGCGCGCAAAUUACCCAAUCCCAAUUCGGGGAGGUAGUGACGAUAAAUACUGAUGCAGAGCUCUUUUGGGUUUUGCAAUUGGAAUGAGUACAAUCUAAAUCCCUUAACGAGGAACAAUUGGAGGGCAAGUCUGGUGCCAGCAGCCGCGGUAAUUCCAGCUCCAAUAGCGUAUAUUAAAGUUGUUGCGGUUAAAAAGCUCGUAGUUGAACCUUGGGUUUGGCUGGCCGGUCCGCCUCACCGCGUGUACUGGUCCGGCCGAACCUUUCCUUCUGGGGAAUCUCAUGCCCUUCACUGGGUGUGUUGGGGAACCAGGACUUUUACUUUGAAAAAAUUAGAGUGUUCAAAGCAGGCCUAUGCUCGAAUACAUUAGCAUGGAAUAAUAGAAUAGGACGGCAGUUCUAUUUUGUUGGUUUCUAGGACCGCCGUAAUGAUUAAUAGGGAUAGUCGGGGGCAUCAGUAUUGAAUUGUCAGAGGUGAAAUUCUUGGAUUUAUUCAAGACUAACUACUGCGAAAGCAUUUGCCAAGGAUGUUUUCAUUAAUCAGUGAACGAAAGUUAGGGGAUCGAAGACGAUCAGAUACCGUCGUAGUCUUAACCAUAAACUAUGCCAA
rnacentral:rRNA from 1 species